CCUACGGGGGGCAGCAGUGGGGAAUAUUGGGCAAUGGAGGCAACUCUGACCCAGCAACGCCGCGUGAAUGAUGAAGGUCUUCGGAUUGUAAAGUUCUGUGAUGGGGGAUGAACACAAUGACGGUACCCCAAUAGCAAGCCACGGCUAACUACGUGCCAGCAGCCGCGGUAAUACGUAGGUGGCAAGCGUUAUCCGGAAUGACUGGGCGUAAAGGGUGCGUAGGUGGUUUAGUAAGUUGGCGGUGUAAUUCCGGGGCUCAACCUCGGCGCUACCGCCAAAACUAUUAGACUAGAGUGCAGGAGGGGUAAGUGGAAUUCCUAGUGUAGCGGUGAAAUGCGUAGAUAUUAGGAGGAACACCAGUGGCGAAGGCGGCCUGCUGGACGAUGACUGACGUUGAGGCUCGAAAGCGUGGGGAGCAAACAGGAUUAGAUACCCGUGUAGUC
rnacentral:rRNA from 1 species